GGGGGCGUAAUGGUUUCGACGGGGAACGGGUUGGCCUGGGACGCGAGCCGGGUUGCCGCCAGGACCGUAAAAAGGGCGGAAGGCUUUAAUUGCCGAAGAAAACUACGCUUUAGCUGCUUAAUUGCAGUCUAACCUCUUCUCCUCUGUGCUCUCGGUGAGGAUGUAAGGGGUCAUUUAAGGGAGCUGGCUCGGACCAAUUCUCGGAGGUCCGGGCGAGACUCAUCGAGAUAGCCUGACCAACGCUUUGUCUGUUGUGCGGAAGGAUGGCGAAAUCUAAAACGACAGAAUACGCUCGUAAAUGCCUUUGUUGGCUCUUCUUCGGACGCUGGGUUCGACUCCCGCCGCCUCCACCA
rfam:Heliobacterium modesticaldum Ice1, complete genome.